GACGAACGCUGGCGGCGUGCUUAACACAUGCAAGUCGAACGGUGAAGGGACCGGUUUUUGCUGGUUCUGGAUGAGUGGCGAACGGGUGAGUAACACGUGAGUAACCUGCCCCCUUCUUCUGGAUAACCGCAUGAAAGUGUGGCUAAUACGGGAUAUUCUGCGCCUGCUGCAUGGUGGGUGUGGGAAAGAUAUUGUUUCGGGGGGGGAUGGGCUCGCGGCCUAUCAGCUUGUUGGUGGGGUGAUGGCCUACCAAGGGGGUGACGGGUAGCCGGCCUGAGAGGGUGGACGGUCACACUGGGACUGAGGCACGGCCCAGACUCCUACGGGAGGCAGCAGUGGGGAAUAUUGCACAAUGGGCGCAAGCCUGAUGCAGCGACGCCGCGUGAGGGAUGGAGGCCUUCGGGUUGUAAACCUCUUUCGCCAGUGAAGCAGGCCUGUCCCUUUUGUGGGUGGGUUGACGGUAGCUGGAUAAGAAGCGCCGGCUAACUACGUG
rnacentral:rRNA from 1 species